rnacentral:rRNA from 1 species
GACGAACGCUGGCGGCGUGCUUAACACAUGCAAGUCGAACGGAAAGGCCCUGCUUUUGUGGGGUGCUCGAGUGGCGAACGGGUGAGUAACACGUGAGUAACCUGCCCUUGACUUUGGGAUAACUUCAGGAAACUGGGGCUAAUACCGGAUAGGAGCUCCUGCUGCAUGGUGGGGGUUGGAAAGUUUCGGCGGUUGGGGAUGGACUCGCGGCUUAUCAGCUUGUUGGUGGGGUAGUGGCUUACCAAGGCUUUGACGGGUAGCCGGCCUGAGAGGGUGACCGGCCACAUUGGGACUGAGAUACGGCCCAGACUCCUACGGGAGGCAGCAGGGGGGAAUAUUGCACAAUGGGCGGAAGCCUGAUGCAGCAACUCCGCGUGCGGGAUGACGGCCUUCGGGUUGUAAACCGCUUUCGCCUGUGACGAAGCGUGAGUGACGGUAAUGGGUAAAGAAGCACCGGCUAACUACGUG